rfam:Neurospora crassa OR74A unplaced genomic scaffold supercont12.9, whole genome shotgun sequence.
UAUUUAAUUAAUUCUAUUAAUAAUUAUAUAUUUAUUUUAAAGAUUAAGUUAUAUAUAUUUAAAUUUAAGUAAUUAAACUACGAAAUUGCGAAUAGCUUAUUAAAUUAGUUAUAGUUUAUUUGAUAGUACUUUACUAUAUAGAUAAUUAUGGUAAUUCUAGAGUUAAUAUAUAUUAAAAACUUUAAUUUCGGAAGGGGUAUAUUUAUUAAAUUAAAAACUAAUACCCUUCGGGGCUAAUUAGUAAUUUAUAAUAAUUUUUCGAAUUGUAUAGCUUUAUAUUGGCGAUAGUUUAUUCAAAUUUCUACUUUAUUAAUUUUCGACGGCUGGGUUUUGGCUAACUAUAGUAAUAAUAAGUAAUAGAGGGUUAGGGUUCGACCCUGGAGAAGGAGCCUAAAAAACGGUUACUAUAUUUAAGGAAGGUAGUAGGCAUAUAAAUUACCUAAUUCCGAUAUAGGGAGGUAGUAAUAAUAAAUAUUAAUAUAGGGCUUUUUUAGGUCUUAUAAUUGGAAUAAGUAUAAUUUAAAUCCUUUAACGAGGAAUAAUUAGAAGGUAAAUCUAAUAUUAAUAACCGCGGUAAUUCUAAUUCUAAUAGCAUAUAUUAAAAUUAUUAAGGUUAAAAAGUUCGUAAUUAAACCUUAGGCUCGGCCCGUCGGUCCGCCUUACCGCGUAUAUUAAUUAGGUCGGGCCUUUUUUCCUAGAGAAUUAUAUACCCUUUACUAAGUAUAUUAGGGAAUUAGGACUUUUACUAUAAAUAAAUUAGAUUGCUUAAAGAAGGCCUAUAUUCGAAUAUACUAGUAUAAAAUAAUAGAAUAGGAUGUAUAGUUCUAUUUUAUUAGUUUCUAGGACCGUUAUAAUAAUUAAUAGGGAUAGUCGGGGGUAUUAGUAUUCAAUUGUUAGAGGUAAAAUUCUUAGAUUUAUUGAAGACUAACUAUUAUAAAAGUAUUUACUAAGGAUAUUUUUAUUAAUUAGGAACGAAAGUUAGGGGAUUGAAGAUAAUCAGAUACUAUUGUAGUUUUAACUAUAAACUAUACUAAUUAGGGAUCGGACGGUAUUAUUUUUUGACCUAUUUAGUACCUUAUAAUAAAUUAAAAUAUUUGGACUCUUAAGGGAGUAUAGUUGCAAAGCUGAAAUUUAAAGAAAUUAAUGGAAGGGUACUACUAAGGGUGGAGCCUGCAGUUUAAUUUGAUUCAAUACGGAGAAAUUUACUAGGUUUAAAUACGAUAAAGAUUAAUAGAUUAAAAACUCUUUCUUAAUUUUGUAAAUAAUAGUAUAUAGUUAUUCUUAAUUGGUAGAAUAAUUUAUUUAUUUAAUUGCAAUAACGAACGAAACUUUAAUUUACUAAAUAGCCUAUAUUACUUUAGUAGUACGCUAGCUUCUUAAAGGGACUAUCGGUUUAAACUAAUAGAAAUUUAAAGUAAUAAUAGGUUUAUAAUACCCUUAAAUAUUCUAGGCUAUACGUACGCUAUACUAAUAUAAUUAGCGAGUAUUCCCUUAGCCGGAAGGUCCGGGUAAUUUUAUUAAAUUGUAUUGUAUUAGGGAUAGAGUAUUAUAAUUAUUAUUCUUCAAUAAGGAAUUCCUAAUAAGUAUAAAUUAUUAAUUUAUAUUAAUUAUAUCCCUACCCUUUAUAUAUACCGCCUAUCGCUACUACCGAUUAAAUAGCUUAGUAAAGCUUCCGAACUGGCCUAAGAAGGUUAGUAACGACUACCCAAGGCCGGAAAACUAUUUAAAUUCAAUUAUUUAAAGGAAGUAAAAGUUGUAAUAAAGUCUCCGUUAAUAAACUAGCGGAAAGAUUAUUA